rnacentral:rRNA from 1 species
UACGUAGGUGGCAAGCGUUGUCCGGAUUUACUGGGCGUAAAGGGCGCGCAGGCGGCUCUUCAAGUCAGAUGUGAAAGCCCCGGGCUCAACCUGGGAACUGCAUUUGAGACUGAAGAACUCGAGUUCGGGAGAGGAUGGCGGAAUUCCCAGUGUAGAGGUGAAAUUCGUAGAUAUUGGGAAGAACACCGGUGGCGAAGGCGGCCAUCUGGACCGAGACUGACGCUGAGGCGCGAAAGCGUGGGGAGCAAACAGG